rnacentral:rRNA from 1 species
UACGUAGGGGGCUAGCGUUGUUCGGAAUUACUGGGCGUAAAGCGCACGUAGGCGGCUUUGUAAGUUAGAGGUGAAAGCCCGGGGCUCAACUCCGGAAUUGCCUUUAAGACUGCAUCGCUAGAAUUGUGGAGAGGUAAGUGGAAUUCCGAGUGUAGAGGUGAAAUUCGUAGAUAUUCGGAAGAACACCAGUGGCGAAGGCGGCUCACUGGAGCGGUAUUGACGCUGAGGUGCGAAAGCGUGGGGAGCAAACAGG